AGAGCAAUGGAGGCCAUUAAGAUGGGGAGGCGGGGAAGUGGAGGGAGGGAAACUCCUAUUGUCUUCUGUCCCUAUCAGAUCUUCUCCAUGAAAGGCUCUGCUUUCUUUAAAGAGAUAACCACCCCUCUGCUUAGCCUUUCUAUUACCCCUCAGUAUAAUUUGGAGAUUUAGAGAAGCUUUGAAAACAACCUUUACUGCCUCCCAUAAGAAUUGUUUCAGUAAUUCGAAAAUGAACUUUCCAGGGCUAUUGCAGGUAUUUUUCCAGGACCUCAAAUCAAUUGUCUCUGCUUCUUCCUGCUUUAAUGGCAUCUGCAAGUAGGUGUGAUAUUUCACGAAGGGUUUCAAGUAAGAAAUGGGCCAGCCACAAAGCUACCUCCCUGAGGGCUACUGUAAACAGUGCCAGCAUCCCAGAUAACUAGUCCACAGACUCGAGUUUGGUCCUCAGAAAUGGAAGAAGCCUUGGAAAUCACCUAAUCAAACCCCCACUUUCUACCCUCCAAGAAACUGUGGCCCAGACAGGAUGAAGAGGCUUAUUUACCCAAGAUUUUACAAAGGGCAGAGUUGGGAUUCUAAUCCAGCACUCCCGACUCCCAGCACAGUACUCUUGGCAGCAAUCCUGGGCUGCCCCUUCAAUCAAUCGCUCAUUUUAUUUAUGUUGCUUACCUUGAGGAAAAUUCAUUUGGCUUGAAAAGGGUCUGAUGUUUCUAAUAAUCUCCUUAUUGGCAGGUGCCCUUUACUUAAAAUAUGCUGGUGGGACUGUGGUUUGGGAUGUCCAAUUUCACGGGAACAUAUGGAAGCAAUAUAUUAACAUUGAUAAGGAAUUGAAAAGAAACUAUUUCUUAAAAAUAAAGAUGAGAUGAGCUUGAAGAGAUUGCCCUGAAAAGCAUCCCAUUUAACUGCAAAGUCAGAAAACAGGAGAAAAAUAAUUUUUUUUAGAAAGUUGUUUAAUAACCAUAACUCACAUUUAUAUAGAAUCACAAAAUUUUAGACAUUGAAGGGAUGUUGGCAGCCAUUUAGUCCAGAGCAUAUUUCCUAAAGAAUCUUCCUUAUGAUACAUCCAACAAUUGUUCCAUCCGGUCUCUGCUUGGAAUUGUGGUUUAAUUGUAUUUUCAGUCACAUCUGAUUCUUUGUGACCCC